CCUACGGGAGGCAGCAGUGAGGAAUAUUGGUCAAUGGGCGGAAGCCUGAACCAGCCAAGUAGCGUGCGGGAUGAAGGCCCUACGGGUCGUAAACCGCUUUUGCACGGGGAUAACACCCUCCACUUGUGGAGGUCUGCAGGUACCGUGCGAAUAAGGGCCGGCUAAUUCCGUGCCAGCAGCCGCGGUAAUACGGAAGGCCCGAGCGUUAUCCGGAUUCAUUGGGCUUAAAGGGAGCGUAGGCGGGCGUUCAAGUCAGCUGUAAAAUCGCGCGGCUCAACCGCGCCCCGCAGUUGAAACUGGACGCCUUGAGUUCACAACAGGCAGGCGGAAUUCGUGGUGUAGCGGUGAAAUGCAUAGAUAUCACGAGGAACCCCGAUUGCGAAGGCAGCCUGCCGGGGUGCGACUGACGCUGAGGCUCGAAGGUGCGGGUAUCAAACAGGAUUAGAUACCCCAGUAGUC
rnacentral:rRNA from 1 species